AGCAUUGUUGUUGUUGUUGUUGUUGUUGUUCUUCAUAUUUUUUCUAAGGCUAUAUGCAGUCAGAGACUAUGACAGCCUUCACCUCUAGCAUUGCCAGGUAGCUUGAGGAUGAUGUUUAUUCUCACACAGAUUGAUUGGAUAUUGAGCAGGCAGGUUGAUAGAUAGGUAGCAUUCUAUAUUUUAUUGACAAUCGAUCGGAUAUCAAGCCGGUAGAUAUGCAGGUUGACAGACAAUUCAGAGGUAAGAAUAGAGGAUAUCUAAGUCAGGUGUGAACUAGUGUUGAACUCAAGUCUACACAACACAAAGAGAAUGGAAGAUUAUUCAGUUCUGAAAAUGUUCUCUACAAAGUGUAGAUCAAUAAACUUCAAGCAACUUUUGUUAAUCCCCCUCAGAGCUUUGUAUGAUUCUUAGAGACUUCGCUUCGCUCCGUUUAAUAAUAGGGAC
rnacentral:sRNA from 1 species